CAGGGAGACAACAAAAUGUUAAAUAUUAAUUUUGUCACCUUAGGUCGAUCGGUAUCUCACAUUCUUAAUUUAUUAAGAAUUUUAUUUCCUAAGUUUUUUCUAGGUCACACCCAUUUUUUCCUGGGCCAUUAGCUCAGGUGGUUAGAGCGCACCCCUGAUAAGGGUGAGGUCCCUGGUUCAAGUCCAGGAUGGCCCAUAUCUCUAUGUUGGGGGUAUAGCUCAGUUGGUAGAGCGCCUGCUUUGCAAGCAGGAUGUCAGCGGUUCGAGUCCGCUUACCUCCACUGAUUACCACCUCUUCCAUAAAUAGAAGGGAAAUUUUUUGAGUUGUGACCAAACCUGAACGAAUCUAGCUUCCUAAUAGUUUUAUUAAGAUGCUGGACUCAUUGAAUUAAUUUCAUUGUUUUCAGAGAACCUUGACAACUGCAUAGAUUAUUUUUAAAGACAAUGAGCAUCUUUAAUGAUGCAGAUUUAUUAUUUGUGCGAAUGCAUUAAUAACAAUUCUAUUAAGCUGAUGCUUCAAUUUUUGAAGUUAUU
rnacentral:tRNA from 1 species